UACUCCUCAGUCCGAGAGGCAGGAAGUGACGCGUCUGAACUCUCAAGCCACGCGAGUCCAAUCCUCGUAGACAUCCUUCCUCCCCUUUCCCUCCACACACACACACCACCACCACCACCCUCUCUCGCCGCGAGAAUGUCGGCAUCCUUCCCGGCCACGACCUCCCCUCCUCUCGCAGGGCCGGCGAUCCAUCGCGGCCCCGCCAUCGCCCGCCUCAUCUCAGGGUCGCUUUCCCGCCGCCCGCUCCCGGCAUACACUGCCCAGACAGUCUCCGCGUCGGCUGCCUCCACGGCCCCCAAGCCCAGGGGAUUGCUCCUGCGAUGCCGGGCAGGGGAGGGGGCGGUGCCGGGGCAGGUGGAGGCACCGCUGAAGGUGAUGAUCUCAGGCGCGCCGGCCUCGGGCAAGGGGACACAGUGCCGUAUGAUUGUUGAGAAGUAUGGUUUAGUUCACAUAUCAACUGGAGAUCUUCUACGGGCUGAAGUAUCAUCUGGAUCAGAUAUUGGCAAUAAAGCAAAAGAAUAUAUGGAUAAUGGCAUGCUUGUCCCGGAUCAAGUUGUGACAGAUAUGGUUGUAUCACGACUAUCACAACCGGAUGUGCGAGAAAAAGGGUGGCUUCUUGAUGGAUACCCAAGGAGUUAUGCUCAAGCACAAAGUCUUGAAAGUAUGAAAAUAAGACCAGAUAUAUUUGUUGUAUUGGAAGUUCCUGAUGACAAUCUAAUUGAUAGAUGUGUUGGAAGAAGACUGGAUCCUGUAACAGGCAAAAUUUACCAUGUUAAGAACUUUCCCCCGGAGAAUGAGGAAAUUUCGGCCAGGCUUCUUACGCGUUCUGAUGAUACAUUUGAGAAGGUUAAAUCACGUCUUGAGACAUACAAACAAAAUUCUGAAGCUGUUCUUCCGACAUACUCAGAUUUGCUUAACCAGAUUGAUGGAAAUCGCCCAGUGGAAGUAGUUUUUCAUGAAAUAGAUUCUCUGUUACAGAAGAUACGUGCAAAUGCUUCAGAAGACAAGUUGGCCAAAUCAAAUGGAAAACCACCAGAUUCUCUGCAUACAGCAGCUUCAAAAAAUGAGUAUCGUGGAAUUCCGACGAGAUUAAAUAACAUUCCACACUCCAGAGAGAUCAGGAAAUAUUUCUAUGACGAUGUGCUACAAGCUACAAAGCGCGCUAUUGAAGAUAAAAAGACCCGGUUGCAGAUAGAUAUCAACAUUCCAGAGCUUAACCCUGAAAUGGAUGUCUAUCGUAUAGGAACCCUCAUGGAACUUGUAAGAGAUUUAUCUCUUACAUUUGCCAAUGACGGAAAACGUGUCAAGGUCUGUGUUCAAGGCUCCAUGGGGCAAGGUGCAUUUGCUGGUAUUCCACUUCAGCUUGCUGGAACGAGAAAGAUUUUGGAAAUCAUGGAUUGGGGUGACUAUGGGGCGAAGGGUGCCUUUAUUAAUAUUGGAGCAGUAGGUGCUAGUGAGGUUGAUAAAGAAGAUGACAUGUUUGUCCUCAUUGCUCCUCAGAAUGCUGUUGGAAACUGCAUAAUUGAUGAUAUGAAAGCUAUGACUGAUGCUGCUGGUAACAGACCUGUGAUUCUUGUAAAUCCUCGUCUAAAGGAUAUGCCUGCAUCAAGUGGCGUAAUGCAAACAAUGGGAAGAGACAUGAGGCUACAGUAUGCUGCAUCUUUUGAGACUUGUUAUUCUUUCCGGCUUCUCUUCUAUGCUGGCACGUUUUAUCCUAUCAUGGGUGCUUUAAGGAUGGCUUACCCAAAUAAAUAUGAGAUUUAUCGAAGGGUCGAUGAACCUAAUGGAAAAGAGAAGUACAGUUUGCUAGCUGAAUUCACGGAGAAUCCAACGGCUGAUGACAUCACCAAUGCCUUCAAAGGACCAAAAAAUAGGAAGCUAUCAGACGCUCUUAGGUUGAUGUUUACUGUCUUCAAUGCAGGGAAAAGGAAAAUGCAUCCUCUGGAUUCUGGGGUUUCUUGAGCGGCAUAUUGUGAGGCAAAGCUCUCUACUAUUGGUGCGUUUAUGCUUGAGAUAGUAUUUUAAUUGCAGGUUUGCUGGUUUUAUAUGUUCUCCCAAUCACCUUAUAAUCCAGUAAAAUGCUUAUUUCCCCUUUAAUAUAUUGUCCAAUAUAUCCUUAUCGAUGUGUAGCUGCAUAUACUAGCUUGAGGGAUAAACUACUUUUGGGAGAAGGCAACCUUUUAUUUUCUAUUUUGCUACCCAUGAAGAAGGUUUGCAGAUGACGUUGCUGGUUUUCCUUUUGUGACGAUGAAUUUGUCUUCUCCUUAGGUUGAGGAUCACAAUAUUUAUUACGGAUUGGAUGGAAUACAAUUUUCACUAAAAAGCAACAUUGUUGGGAUAUUCUUUUUCGGCACUGUUAA